UUGUUUAAGUUUUAAUCUUUGUUUUGUAAUUUUCUUAAUUUAUUUUAUUUAUUUAUUUAUUUAUUCAUUUUUUCAUUUAUAUAUUUUUUUCAGGAAAGGAAGCAGCUCAAGGGCAACAAAAAAUGCAGAAAAAAAGCCUGCUAAUCGCUGCUCCAAAAAAAAGAUAAAAGUAAAGAGUGGCCAAAAGAGAGGUCAAUUUCUGGUGGAGAGGUGUCUUGAUUUACCUAUAAGUUUGUCCCUUAUGAGUUGUGUAUUCUAGGAACAGCCACAAAGAACAUGGACAGAUGGUACACACAGUAUGUGGGAAAACCAGAUACAUAAACACAGGUAUCAGUUGUGUGUGUCAUGUGUGAUAAAGAGGAACACACAAAGUUCAGUGAUAUGUAACUGUGUAGUGUGUGCUAAAGCAAACACAGAACACAGACAGUAAGUGUGGUGUGGUGUGUGUGUUAGAGACAGAAAAGUGGUAUGUGCAGUGUGGUGUGUGUGUAAGGCCUCGUUCACACUACAAGCAGAGCAGGGCAGAGCAGAGCAGAGCGGUUAGUAGCGGCAUUAAUUUUUGGAUAAUUUUGAAUGUACAGACGCUCAGGCAUUCACACUGCAAGCAGAGUGGCACAGCGCGGAGCGCAGCGUCACGCUCGGGAAAUUUGGUUGUAUUUUUUGCUGCUCACAGCUAGCGGUCCUCCACGUCUCCACCCUUCCAUCAACAUGGCCAAAAAGCUAUCUACAUAGGUGAAUUUUUAUUGCUGAAGCCAAAAUUACAAAAAACUGACCAGAUUGUGCAUAGUUGAGGUACAAUUUAAUGAUAUAUAAUAGCCGUAUGUUUAGAAAAGCUAAUUUAGUGAUAUUCUGAUCCUAUACCCAAUCAUCAGUGACCCACACUGCCAUGGGACUUGGCUUUAACAACAGAAUUCCAUGUUCCCUUGUAAAUCAUUACAUUUUCAUCAUCCUACAAGAUAAACACCGAGGAGUUUAUCAGGCAGUUGCCUGCGAAUGAUUCUUGUGCAGGUCGCCCUGCUCUGCUUAUAUGUGAACACCUAACCGCUCUGCUCUGCCCUGCUCUGCUUUUAGUGUGAAUGAACCCUUAGAGGCAGAAAGGUGGUAUGUGCAGUGUGGUGUGUGUGUUAGAGGCAGAAAGGUGGUAUGUGCAGUGUGGUGUGUGUGUUAGAGGCAGAAAGGUGGUAUGUGCAGUGUGGUGUGUGUGUUAGAGGCAGAAAGGUGGUAUGUGCAGUGUGGUGUGUGUGUUAGAGGCAGAAAGGUGGUAUGUGCAGUGUGGUGUGUGUGUUAGAGGCAGAAAGGUGGUAUGUGCAGUGUGGUGUGUGUGUUAGAGGCAGAAAGGUGGUAUGUGCAGUGUGGUGUGUGUGUUAGAGGCAGAAAGGUGGUAUGUGCAGUGUGGUGUGUGUGUUAGAGGCAGAAAGGUGGUAUGUGCAGUGUGGUGUGUGUGUUAGAGGCAGAAAGGUGGUAUGUGCAGUGUGGUGUGUGUGUUAGAGGCAGAAAGGUGGUAUGUGCAGUGUGGUGUGGUGAUUGGUACAGCCAGACACACAAGGAUAGAGGUACUGUGGUAUGGUGUGUGUUAAGAGGCAGAUAGGUGGUAUGUGCAGUGUGGUGUGGUGGGGUGAGUGGUACAGCCAGACUCACAAGGACAGAGGUGAUGUGGUAUGGUGUGUGUGUGUCAGAGGCAGAAAGGUUCUAUGUGCAGUGUGGUGUGGUGGGGUGAGUGAUACAGCCAGACACUCAAGGACAGAGAGGUGAUGUGGUAUGGUGUGUGUGUUAAGAAGCAGAAAGGUGGUAUGAGCGGUGGUGUUGCAUGUGGCCGGCCUGUCCCUGC